UACCUUCAGCUCUCAAAACCCAUAUUAUCUGUCCGUCAUACGGGGGAGUUAGAAAGAUCGGCAGCAAUGGAAUCGAAGGGGCUUCCUAGCAACCAUUCUAACGACAACAGAGAAAACAGGGUUAAGCGUAAAGAGGUUCUUGAGAAGAAGAAGGCGAUGGAUGAGCUUAUCAAAUCAGCCUCGGCUGAUAAAGACCCUCUUUCUUCUUUCCCAUCCUUUCGCCACUUCGACAGAAAUGGCCUAUCUAUAUACUUGAAAUCGGGGUGCGGGGAUAAACUCUCCUCUUCUAUCAAGCAAUACAUUAUGAGGCUCCUUAAGGCCAAUAUGGAGGCACCAUAUGGGUUUGAAUGGCCAACAGAGGAGAAGGUGAAGCGUAGUGAAAUGGUUGCACCAGAAGCACGUUAUAUAUUUGUGCAUGAGGCUCCAAGUGCAAGUACGAGUGAGAUCUUAACAAUGUCAGAAAGGAAAAGACCUUCAAAUAAUUGUGUUGAAGAUAGGGGACCCAUGGUUGGAUUUGUACACUACCGCUUUACUCUAGAGGAAAAGAUACCCGUACUUUAUGUGUAUGAAUUACAACUUGAGCCUUGUGUCCAAGCAAAAGGACUGGGGAAUUUUCUAAUGCAACUUAUUGAGCUUAUUGCGUGCAAGAACCGCAUGAGUGCCGUGGUGCUGACUGUUCAAAAAGCAAAUUCUUUAGCUAUGAAUUUCUAUUUAAAUAAGCUAAGAAUUGGUGAAAAUUUUGUUUUAGUUUUGAGCAGAUACGUUGUAUCAACUGUUUCACCGUCAAGAGUUGAUCCAUUGAUUUUCGUGCAGCUUGGAAUUGAGAAGAGUUAUGAAAUUCUUUGCAAAGCAUUUGAUCAUGAAGCUAAAGCUAUCUUGGAGGUGACAAAUUAGUUUCCUGGAAGCCAGUGCCAAAGGAAGCAAGGGGUUAAAACAUCAAUCAGAAAAAUGGGGACCAAUAAAUGCUCAGCUCAUCUGUGAUCUGUCUCUUUGGAAUCUGUAUUUGGUGAACUGCAGCUACCAUGCAAGCAAAUUUAAUAAUUGGAUUACUCAUGCUUGGAGAGUAAUGAUUCAGACCCACUGAGGAGAGUCGCAAGAUUUUCUAUGCUGCCCAGGUCCAUCCCCAUACUUUCAUUGAAGACAUGGGAACUUUCUGAUACUUCUGGUGGCUGAGAUCCAUCCCCAUACUUUCAUUGUGGACUUGGAUGAACUUUCUGGUGGCUGGGACUGUGAACCGUGGUAGUAAAGUGAUAGCUGCUGGCAUGAUAGUAAACGAUUGGACAGCGUACUAACAAUGUUAGCAAUAAUUCAUUUUCAUGAACAAGGAACCACCCAGCUUUCUCAUUUGAAAAGGAAAACUGUAAAGAGUUUUAAAUACUAUGCAGCUUUCUCAUUUGAUUGCAAAACUUGUAAAAUUAAGAGCUGCAGCAAUGGAGGAAAGGAGUUGGGGUAGCUAUAUAUAUAUAUAUAUAUGCAGCCUAGGAAGACAAAGAGAGUGAUGGCAGCAACCACAUCAUCAUUCAUCAUCAUCUAUUCUCUAAGCAGAGAUUUUCAUCUUCAUUUUCUACAAUCAUUCUCCUCCUUCUUAAGGCCACGGUAUAAUAGUUCACUCAAAUUAUCUAAUUAAACAUCUUGUAGAAAGGUAGUCCAGAUUUUACUCGAUUCAAAGCUUUUCUCUUAAUUGUUCUAAAACUAGGGUUACAGGUCCUAUAACCAGGAAUUCUUUAUUACACAUGCAGAUGGAGCUCCAACUUCACUUUGAAAGCAAAUACAUUAGGUUUCAUAUGCAUUGCAGUCAUAAUUAUAUAACAUUUUCUGCUCCAAAUAUUUCAUGACUAUAGCACCAAAAAUCAAUCUUUUCUCAUAGCACUAACCAAUAGGUUAUAGUGUUUCUUGCCUGAAAGCCCAAGUAAACAACUCAAGAAUUGCACCAAAAAGCAUUUAGAUUUAAUUAAUCAAACCAUUAAGUUCCGAAUGAACAAUGAGCUGGAAUGUAGUUGAAGAUUAACUUAUUUUUAGUUUACAAGUAGUUAUGUCAGUUAUAUUAGUUACAACGUAGUUAAGUUUGUUGAUUAAGUUGUUAUAGGUAUUGUUAGUGUAGCUAUACGUAUAGAAGCUAUAUGUAAUCAUAAUGACAGUAUAUAUACUUAGAAUGUACAGAUUAUCAAAUCAUUCAAUGUAUAACAGAGAAAUUCAUCUU